rnacentral:rRNA from 2 species
AGCGUACACGGUGGAUGCCCUGGCAGUCAGAGGCGAUGAAGGACGUGCUAAUCUGCGAAAAGCGUCGGUAAGGUGAUAUGAACCGUUAUAACCGGCGAUGUCCGAAUGGGGAAACCCAGUGCAAUUCGUUGCACUAUCGUUAACUGAAUACAUAGGUUAACGAGGCGAACCGGGGGAACUGAAACAUCUAAGUACCCCGAGGAAAAGAAAUCAACCGAGAUUCCCCCAGUAGCGGCGAGCGAACGGGGAGCAGCCCAGAGUCUGAAUCAGCUUGUGUGUUAGUGGAACGGUCUGGAAAGUCCGACGGUACAGGGUGAUAGUCCCGUACACCAAAAUGCACAGGUUGUGAACUCGAAGAGUAGGGCGGGACACGUGGUAUCCUGUCUGAAUAUGGGGGGACCAUCCUCCAAGGCUAAAUACUCCUGACUGACCGAUAGUGAACCAGUACCGUGAGGGAAAGGCGAAAAGAACCCCGGCGAGGGGAGUGAAAAAGAACCUGAAACCGUGUACGUACAAGCAGUGGGAGCACCUUCGGGUGUGACUGCGUACCUUUUGUAUAAUGGGUCAGCGACUUAUAUUCUGUAGCAAGGUUAACCGUAUAGGGGAGCCGCAGGGAAACCGAGUCUUAACUGGGCGUUAAGUUGCAGGGUAUAGACCCGAAACCCGGUGAUCUAGCCAUGGGCAGGUUGAAGGUUGGGUAACACUAACUGGAGGACCGAACCGACUAAUGUUGAAAAAUUAGCGGAUGACUUGUGGCUGGGGGUGAAAGGCCAAUCAAACCGGGAGAUAGCUGGUUCUCCCCGAAAGCUAUUUAGGUAGCGCCUCGUGAACUCAUCUUCGGGGGUAGAGCACUGUUUCGGCUAGGGGGUCAUCCCGACUUACCAACCCGAUGCAAACUACGAAUACCGAAGAAUGUUAUCACGGGAGACACACGGCGGGUGCUAACGUCCGUCGUGAAGAGGGAAACAACCCAGACCGCCAGCUAAGGUCCCAAAGUCAUGGUUAAGUGGGAAACGAUGUGGGAAGGCACAGACAGCCAGGAUGUUGGCUUAGAAGCAGCCAUCAUUUAAAGAAAGCGUAAUAGCUCACUGGUCGAGUCGGCCUGCGCGGAAGAUGUAACGGGGCUAAACCAUGCACCGAAGCUGCGGCAGCGACACUAUGUGUUGUUGGGUAGGGGAGCGUUCUGUAAGCCUGCGAAGGUGUGCUGUGAGGCAUGCUGGAGGUAUCAGAAGUGCGAAUGCUGACAUAAGUAACGAUAAAGCGGGUGAAAAGCCCGCUCGCCGGAAGACCAAGGGUUCCUGUCCAACGUUAAUCGGGGCAGGGUGAGUCGACCCCUAAGGCGAGGCCGAAAGGCGUAGUCGAUGGGAAACAGGUUAAUAUUCCUGUACUUGGUGUUACUGCGAAGGGGGGACGGAGAAGGCUAUGUUAGCCGGGCGACGGUUGUCCCGGUUUAAGCAUGUAGGCUGGUUAUCCAGGCAAAUCCGGAUAAUCAAGGCUGAGGUGUGAUGACGAGGCACUACGGUGCUGAAGUAACAAAUGCCCUGCUUCCAGGAAAAGCCUCUAAGCAUCAGGUAACAUCAAAUCGUACCCCAAACCGACACAGGUGGUCAGGUAGAGAAUACCAAGGCGCUUGAGAGAACUCGGGUGAAGGAACUAGGCAAAAUGGUGCCGUAACUUCGGGAGAAGGCACGCUGGUGUGUAGGUGAAGUCCCUGCGGAUGGAGCUGAGACCAGUCGAAGAUACCAGCUGGCUGCAACUGUUUAUUAAAAACACAGCACUGUGCAAACACGAAAGUGGACGUAUACGGUGUGACGCCUGCCCGGUGCCGGAAGGUUAAUUGAUGGGGUUAUCCGUAAGGAGAAGCUCUUGAUCGAAGCCCCGGUAAACGGCGGCCGUAACUAUAACGGUCCUAAGGUAGCGAAAUUCCUUGUCGGGUAAGUUCCGACCUGCACGAAUGGCGUAAUGAUGGCCAGGCUGUCUCCACCCGAGACUCAGUGAAAUUGAACUCGCUGUGAAGAUGCAGUGUACCCGCGGCAAGACGGAAAGACCCCGUGAACCUUUACUAUAGCUUGACACUGAACAUUGAGCCUUGAUGUGUAGGAUAGGUGGGAGGCUUUGAAGCGUGGACGCCAGUCUGCGUGGAGCCAACCUUGAAAUACCACCCUUUAAUGUUUGAUGUUCUAACGUUGGCCCCUGACCGGGGUUGCGGACAGUGUCUGGUGGGUAGUUUGACUGGGGCGGUCUCCUCCCAAAGCGUAACGGAGGAGCACGAAGGUUAGCUAAUCCUGGUCGGACAUCAGGAGGUUAGUGCAAUGGCAUAAGCUAGCUUGACUGCGAGCGUGACGGCGCGAGCAGGUGCGAAAGCAGGUCAUAGUGAUCCGGUGGUUCUGAAUGGAAGGGCCAUCGCUCAACGGAUAAAAGGUACUCCGGGGAUAACAGGCUGAUACCGCCCAAGAGUUCAUAUCGACGGCGGUGUUUGGCACCUCGAUGUCGGCUCAUCACAUCCUGGGGCUGAAGUAGGUCCCAAGGGUAUGGCUGUUCGCCAUUUAAAGUGGUACGCGAGCUGGGUUUAGAACGUCGUGAGACAGUUCGGUCCCUAUCUGCCGUGGGCGCUGGAGAAUUGAGGGGGGCUGCUCCUAGUACGAGAGGACCGGAGUGGACGCAUCACUGGUGUUCGGGUUGUCAUGCCAAUGGCACUGCCCGGUAGCUAAAUGCGGAAGAGAUAAGUGCUGAAAGCAUCUAAGCACGAAACUUGCCCCGAGAUGAGUUCU